AAGGCGAAAGGGGGUCAAACACCGUAUUAGUAUGGUGUUCCUAAUAAUCCUUUAGGUGAGUGUAUAUUGACUGGGAUGGGCUUUUAUCACUGCUGAACGACAGAUUUCCGGGACGUUGCGUAUCAUUUACGGAUGUGAGGAAGCUGCUGUCAGUUUGCUUGGGACUCCUGGAACUUCACACGCACAUUUCCCACCACUGUCAUAACAAAAAUGUCAGGUGAUUGCCAUGCCCAACAUUCCCAACAUGUCUCAGGUAGUGCACAGCCUGAUCCAUGCUACCCACAUCUUCUCAAAAUUCACAGGUGCCCCCUGCUGGAGGGGAGGCCCCUGAUGCAGUACUUCAGACACUUCAUUCACUGCCCAAGGACCAUGGAAAAACCUAGAAAUGGAGGUGGAGGGUAUUACCACACAGAUAUAACAGGGAACAGCAGGUCCUUGUGGAUCAGAGGACUGGAGAGCAGUGUAUGCUAGGGUGCUAGCACCAACUAUAUUGUUAGAGAUAUUUUAUUGUUUUGUCCUUUCUUAGAGCUACAUGGUAAUGUAAUAUUAGGCUGCAUUUUAGUUUGUGGUAUAUUUAGAAUGUUCUUGAAAAUCCUUUUGGUAUUUUAAAACACAAGAUCUUUUCAUUGCUUAAAUAUAACCUAGGAAAAGUCGAUCUUUAUGUUAUUUUGCAUAAUGUAUGCCUUAUUUUGCUUAAUAUUGGUGUUGUGAUACAGCACAGCAUGACAUCUUAGGGUGAACUUGGGGCCCCGCUGAAUGGCCUGCUAGCUAAUCAUAAUCCCCUUUAUCUGUUUCAGAAGUUGAAUGAACCCUAUGACUCUUUCUAUCCAUGAUGUCUAUCAUCCAUUGUGCUCUGAAUGCAUGUAAGGCACAGUCCAUACGGAGCUGGUAGCUCUCCAGGUCAGGUCUGAAGUCGCCUCGUUCUGCUUUGAUGCACCAUACAUGGUGCAAAAUGUACAUCAGGCUUCAGCUAAUGAUCUCUGCUCCGCCCACCAGUCAUGGAAGGUUCAUUGUGACUUGAAUUCUGAUUCUGAUUAUUGAACCUGUACAUGAGGUUAGUAUGUGUUGCUUUUUUUGGAAUCCUGUCUCUACCCCCCACACCCACACACACACACCCAUGACCCUGAACAUUCAGACACCGGAACUAUAACAGAUUAAUUACUUACAUUAAUAAUAGUUGAUAUAUUCCAGUUUAGGGACACCAAGGGCCAAGCUUGGAGCUUGUUGUAGAGUUAAGCAUGUCGGAAUGGCAUGGGUUCAAAUCCCAUGAAUGACAAAGUGAUCAUAUCACUGGUGGGCCCUUGAGCCCAGUUGCUCCAGAGAGGCUGGUUGACCUGGUUCUCAGAUCCUCAGUUAUUGUUAUGAGCAAAAGCAUCUCAUGAAUAAAUGUUGUGCUUGCCUUGAAUUGUGUAUGUGAGAAUAUACUAUGUGUUUCUACCCCAGUUAAUAUUCAUGUUUAUUAUUGAUAUCGGUUUGAGUUUGAGGCUAAGGUGCAGUCUCCGGAGUAAUGCUAGAAUAUGCGCUUGUUGGUGUGUUUUGAAACGGGUGACUGAACUCUGCUCUUGAUGAAUCUUUCCACACACGCACUGAUGGAUUUAGUGUGUUGGCUUGCGAGAGAUGAGUGUGUUUGGAAACGCUAAUAAGAAUCUGCUCAUGUGUGUUGCCAAAAUGCCUGUAAUGGCAUAUAUGUGAUGUGCCCUUACAAACACUCCCCCAAAGUCACUUGAAUGAGACAAGUUUCUUUUGGGGUAUCUGACUGUCUGUGGCUUUUCUGUUUCUUGCAUUAUGGGUAUAAAAGUUGUUUGAGGAAGAUCAUAAUGAAUCUUAUCUCCACACCAUGAAAACCAUGAUUUUAUAUGUGCCUGCUUCCUUUUCCUGUUGACCCAGGUUCUUACCUGUGAGGCCACCCUGGAGAUCCAGAUGGAAUGAGUGUCAUCAUGCUCCUUUGCUCUGAACACCACGAUACUGUCACCAUCUGGGUGUGGAUGUACAUGACAUCUCUGAGCCGUUUCCCUCAAUGCCCCUGCAUCCUGGAAUGGUCAUCAUGAGCUCAUGUGCUCCACACACUCAUACUGUAAGACUCCUAAUGAUGUGGUUUACAUACCUCUGCAUGUGACAAUACCUGUCUUAGUGAAUCUUGACAGACAGACAAACCCGCCUUUAUACUGAUGGGGGGAGUGGGUUAGUGGGUUAAGCCUCUGUGCCUCUAAAUGGAAGGUUGCAGGUUUGAGCCCCAGCCUCAGCAGAACAGUGACGUCUCCACCGGGCCCUUCACCUACCCCCUUCACCCUCUUUGAAAUGCACCAGAUAAAUAGCCUGAUCCUGCACUUGGGCCUCAAGGUUUGCGCUCACCUGUAGCCAAAACGUCAUGAAUGACCACCACCAUGUGAAGCAAAUAAUGUGUACGAUCCAGUGAAAAAGGUGCAUGUCAUGGUCUGGGAUAUAUUAGACUAGUGUUCUUCAAACCAAACCUCAGGGACCCCCCCCCCGACCAGACAGUCCGUGUUUUUGCUCUCUCCCACUUCCCUGAGAGGACUGGUUUGAGAAACACUAUUAGACAGUAAGCUAAAAUUCAGUGCUCAUAGUUGACAUGUUGAAUGGAGCAGGGCUCCAUGCCCUGUGUGUCAUGAGAUAUUACUCCCAUGAUGAUCAUCAAAAUAAUCUGCUAUUUGUGCCACAGUAGCUCAUCAGUUGGCUUGUACCACACAAGAUAGCCGUCAUUCAGAUCCCACAUUAAUGAAUCUCGGCCGCCAAACACCCUGUUAGCAGUUGGUGGUCUGUCCCUCCUCAGAUCACUCUCAGUAGGUACUCUCCAUAGCGGAUUGUGAGCACCCCACAAGCCGUGCUGUUCUGAGGAAGCUCUCACCCAGCUGUCUGCCAUAAUGAUUUAGCCCUUGUCAGAAUCACUCAGAUCUUUAUCCCUGCCCAAUUUCUUCUGCAUGUCGUCUACGAACACCGAAAGUUAGCUUAUCGUGUAAUACAUCCCAAACCUUAACACACACCUUUUUUUUUUUUGAGAUAAUCAAAAUUAUUUGCUUUGCAUGGAGGUGGUCAUAAUGUUUUGGCACAGCAGUAUGUGUAUGUCUCGAAGUAGACAGGAGAGUAAGAUGAGAUAUGAAAAAAGACAGACUAUGUGUACUUGUGCAAAUGGCAAAUAAAGGAUCAUUUCAUUAUGGUUGUGGAAUGACA